rnacentral:tRNA from 1 species
ACCUUCGUGGCUCAGUGGUUGAGUGUCUACCUGUGAACUAGAAGGUCACGGUUCGAUUUCCGGUCAAGGGCU